GGGCUCCGUUGCUAGGGAGAUGCGCAGAGCCGGGCGGGCAGCGCGCCAGACCUGGUACUCUGGAUAAUCCACUACCCUGGAUAAUCCACUACCCUGGAUAAUCCGCUACCCGCUUUUGCGCAUGUUAGGGAGUUGACGGCCUGUAGCAUUCUGAUGCAGCAAAAUAUUUCGCAGGGUCUGUCAUAGGGAUCUCCGGUGAGAGGAGGUUCCCUUCGAAGGCAGAACUGGAAACCUUGCUAACUUGGGUGUUGAAAGCAGCAGGGGCCUAGAAGACAUUAAACCGAUACCACAGAAAUACAAAGGAUCAUUAGAGACUAUUAUGAACAACUAUAUGCCAACAAAUUGGAAACUAAAUGGAAAUGGAUAAAUUCCUGAACAGAUACAGCUUACCAAAAUUGGACCAAGAAGAAACAGAAAACCUGAAAAGACCAACUAUGCGUAAUGAGGUUGAAUCAGUAAUAGUCUCCCAUCAAAGAAAAGCCCAGGCCCUGAUGGCUUCACUGCUGAAUUCUACCAAACAGUUAAAGAAGAAUUCAUACCAUUUGUUCUCAAACUCAUCCUGUGAGUGCAGCAUUACCCUGAUACCAAAACGAGAUAUGGACACAAGAAAAAAAAUCUACAGGCCAGUAUCCCUGAUGAACACAGAUGCAAGAAUCCUCAACAAGGCCAGGCGUGGUGGUUCACGCCUGUAAUCCCAUCACUUUGGGAGGCCAAGGCAGGUGGAUCACCUGAGGUCAGGAAUUCGAGACCAGCCUGGCCAACAUGGCAAAACCCCGUCUGUACUAAAAAUACAAAAAUUAGCCGGGCAAGGUGGCGGGUGCCUGUAAUCCCAGCUACUUGGGAGGCUGAGGCAGGAGAAUUGCUUGAACCUGGAGCGGGGGCAGAGGUUGCAGCGAGCUCAGAUCGUCCCACUGCACUCCAGCCUGGGUGACAGAGUGAGACUCCAUCUCAAAAUAAGUAAAUAAAUAAAUAAAGAGACUCAACUAGCAUAAA